UUGAAUAUGAGUCAUGACAAUCUCUAUUUUUCUUUCUUGAUUUUUUUAAGCUUGGGUUUGCUGUUAGGAUUGACAGAUGCUGAUGAUCAUAUUCCCAGAUCUACUAAUGGCUUGUCUGAAGAAAUUUCUUUUAAGAUUCUGAAACAAGUGUGGGUUUCUUUUUCUGAAUUCUGUGAUUUUGGUCAUCAUUUUGUGAUUUUAGUGAGUUGCAACUUGUUGCGGCAGGGUUGGAUGUCUAUAGCACAAGUCUUCUACAUCUAUCCAGUUAUUAUCUUAUCUUGAUUACUAAAUGUACCAUGUUUCAGGAAGUUAUAUCCAGAAAUGUAUUGGUUGAUGAAUGUUCAAGGCAGGUUGUCGAGGUGGAGCAAGCAGCCAUGUGGAAGUUUCUUUGGUGGUCGGGAAUCAUAGCUGUUCAUGUUAUGGUUGGCCAAAACAUAGAUGAUCACCCGAAACUUUUCUCCAGCACUUCCUCCUCAAGCCUUUGUCUUUUAUUUCCUGCUUGGUUUGCGGGAUGAGUUCAGCUUGUUGAUGUACUUUAUGCUGAGUGUUUGCAUUUGUAUCUUUGUGAAGGAAGGACUCAUGCUGGUUGUUGCAACAAUCUGACAAGCUAUAUGCUGGAGCAUUUUGACAGUGAUUCAGUGAUUCAAAUCACAGUUUGAUUCUUCACAAGACUAAACUUUGUGCUCCUGCACUUGCUCCAUUCAAGGCUUAUUACGAAGGAAACUUUUGGGGUGCCAAAACAAUCCCAAGCACAACAUGAGAUGCUUAACAUGCUGAAGCCAAGGCUCUUCUUGUAGCCACACUAUGGGUUAACGAGCUGGAACUGCAGUUUACUUCAAAGGGGACUGAAUCAUUCUGAAGAUGUAUGCUAUGCUAUCUAGUGUUCAAAUCACCAUAGUUAACUAUUGCUGUUAUAGUGGUCUCUGUCAAGUUUUCUAGAUUUUUGGUGUAGUUAGUGUCAGUAUUAUUCGAAAAAAAUAUUGUCUUUAGGUUUCUGUUAGUAUUAUUUUGUAACAUUUGAUAAGGUCUUACUUGGAAUAAAAUUUCUGUUAAUUUUGG